rnacentral:rRNA from 1 species
AUUGAACGCUGGCGGCAGGCCUAACACAUGCAAGUCGAGCGGAGCGGCGGACGGAUGAGUAAUGCCUAGGAAUCUGCCUGGUCGUUGGGGAUAACGUCCGGACACGGGCGCUAAUACCGCAUACUCUCAGAUGAGCCUAGGUCGGAUUAGCUAGUUGGUGGGGUAAAGGCCUACCAAGGCGACGAUCCGUAACUGGUCUGCGAGGCUGAUCAGUCACACUGGAACUGAGACACGGUCCAGACUCCUACGGGAGGCAGCAGUAGGGAAUAUUGGGCAAUGGGCGAAAGCCUGAUGCAGCCAUGCCGCGUGAGUGAAGAAGGUCUUCGGAUUGUAAAGCACUUUAAGUUGGGAAGCGGUACCAACAGAAAAAGCACCGGCUAACUUCGUGCCAGCAGCCGCGGUAAUUC